rnacentral:rRNA from 1 species
GUGUCAGCAGCCGCGGUAAUACGGAGGAUGCAAGCGUUAUCCGGAUUUAUUGGGUUUAAAGGGUGCGUAGGCGGGAAUUUAAGUCAGUGGUGAAAUACUGCAGCUUAACUGUAGCACUGCCAUUGAUACUGAAUUUCUUGAGUACGGUUGAAGUAGGCGGAAUGUGUAAUGUAGCGGUGAAAUGCUUAGAGAUUACACAGAACACCGAUUGCGUAGGCAGCUUACUAAGCCGUAACUGACGCUGAGGCACGAAAGUGUGGGGAUCGAACAGGAUUAGAUACCCGCGUAGUCC